GCGCUUGUUUCGGCAGCACAUAUACUAAAAUUGGAAUGAUCCAGAGAAAUUAGCACAGUCCCUGCACAAGGAUGACAUGCAAAUUUGUGAAACCAAUUCUGUUUUU